rnacentral:misc_RNA from 1 species
GAUGAAGAACGCAGCGAAAUGCGAUACUUGGUGUGAAUUGCAGAAUCCCGUGAACCAUCGAGUCUUUGAACGCAAGUUGCGCCCGAAGCCACUAGGCCGAGGGCACGCCUGCCUGGGCGUCACACGCCGUUGCCCCCCCAUCUACUCCUUCGGGAUUGCGGGGGGGCGGAUGAUGGCCUCCUGUGCGCCUAGCCGCGCGGUUGGCAUAAAUACCAAGUCCUCGGCGACGCACGCCACGACAAACGGUGGUUGCGAAACCUCGGUUGCCCGUCGUGUGCGUUCGUCGCGCAUCGAGGGCUCGAAAAAAUGCUCGGCUCCGGCUGGGCUUUCAACGCGACCCCAGGUCAGGCGGGGUUACCCGCUGAAUUUAAGCAUAUCAAUAAGCGGAGGA